rnacentral:rRNA from 1 species
UACGUAGGCGGCCAUAUAAGUCAGAAGUGAAAGGUUACGGCUUAACCGUAGUAAGCUUUUGAAACUGUAUGGCUUGAGUGCAGGAGAGGAAAGCGGAAUUCCUAGUGUAGCGGUGAAAUGCGUAGAUAUUAGGAAGAACACCAGUAGCGAAGGCGGCUUUCUGGACUGAAACUGACGCUGAGGUACGAAAGCGUGGGGAGCGAACAGGAUUAGAUACCCUGGUAGUCC